UACAGAGGGUGCGAGCGUUGUUCGGAAUUACUGGGCGUAAAGCGCACGUAGGCGGCUCUUUAAGUCGGGGGUGAAAUCCUGGAGCUCAACUCCAGAACUGCCUUUGAUACUGAGAGCUUGAGUCCGGGAGAGGUGAGUGGAACUGCGAGUGUAGAGGUGAAAUUCGUAGAUAUUCGCAAGAACACCAGUGGCGAAGGCGGCUCACUGGCCCGGUACUGACGCUGAGGUGCGAAAGCGUGGGGAGCAA
rnacentral:rRNA from 1 species